GUCCGCGUGGCGCAAUGGUAGCGCGUUGGACUUCUAAACCACUGUAUCACCGAAAAAUCUCGUCAUUUGCCAUGACUCGGGAUGCUCGUCUGCGGUUAGGAGUCUAUCCAAAGGUUGUGGGUUCGAGCCCCACCGUGGAUG